UGGAUGAUGUGGAUUAAUUCGAUGCAACGCGAAAACCUUACCUACGCUUGACAUGUCAGGAACCUCGAAGAGAUUUGAGGGUGCCGAAAGGGAACCUGAACACAGGUGCUGCAUGGCUGUCGUCAGCUCGUGUCGUGAGAUGUUGGGUUAAGUCCCGCAACGAGCGCAACCCUUAUCAUUAGUUGCUACGCAAGGGCACUCUAAUGAGACUGCCGGUGACAAACCGGAGGAAGGUGGGGAUGACGUCAAGUCCUCAUGGCCCUUAUGCGUAGGGCUUCACACGUCAUACAAUGGUCGGUACAGAGGGUUGCCAACCCGCGAGGGGGAGCCAAUCCCAUAAAGCCGAUCGUAGUCCGGAUUGCAGUCUGCAACUCGACUGCAUGAAGUCGGAAUCGCUAGUAAUCGCGGAUCAGCAUGUCGCGGUGAAUACGUUCCCGGGUCUU
rnacentral:rRNA from 1 species